AGCAGCCGCGGUAAUUCCAGCUCCAAUAGCGUAUAUUAAAGUUGUUGCAGUUAAAAAGCUCGUAGUUGAAUUUCGGGACCAUCAUGUCGGUCGUGCUUCGGUACGUACUGGCAUUGUUGGUUUCUCCCUUCUGACGAACCAUGAUGUCAUUUAUUUGGUGUUGUGGGGAAUCAGGACUGUUACUUUGAAAAAAUUAGAGUGUUUAAAGCAGGCUCACGCUUGAAUACAUUAGCAUGGAAUAAUGAAAUAGGACGUUUGAUUCUAUUUUGUUGGUUUCUAGGAUCGACGUAAUGAUUAAUAGGGAUAGUUGGGGGCAUUAGUAUUCAAUUGUCAGAGGUGAAAUUCUUGGAUUUAUUGAAGACUAACUACUGCGAAAGCAUUUGCCAAGGAUGUUUUCAUUAAUCAAGAACGAAAGUUAGGGGAUCGAAGACGAUCAGAUACCGUCGUAGUCUUAACCAUAAACUAUGCCGACUAGGGAUCGGAUGAUGUUAAUUUUUUAAUGACUCA
rnacentral:rRNA from 1 species